rnacentral:rRNA from 1 species
GGUUAAGUGACUAAGCGUACACGGUGGAUGCCUUGGCAGUCAGAGGCGAUGAAGGACGUAUUAACUUGCGAUAAGCCCAGAUUAGGCAGUAAAAGCCACUCGAGUCUGGGAUUUCCGAAUGGGGAAACCCACUUACAUAAGUAAGUAUCGCUGCGUGAAUACAUAGCGCAGCGAGGCGAACCGGGGGAACUGAAACAUCUAAGUACCCCGAGGAAAAGAAAUCAACCGAGAUUCCGAAAGUAGCGGCGAGCGAAAUUGGACUAGCCCUUAAGCUUUAUAUGCGUUAGACGAACGGUCUGGAAAGUCCGGCGAUACAGGGUGAUAGCCCCGUAGUUGACAACGCACAUUCAGUGAAAUCGAGUAGGGCGGGACACGUGAUAUCCUGUCUGAAUAUGGGGG